GGCCUGGCGCCUAGGGGGUCUUCGUAGCUGGCAAGGGUACUGUCUCCCCAUCUCAGACCCCCAGCACGAGUGGUGGUCAUGCUGUCUGGGACGGGCAAUGGGACCACUGCGCAUGCGCAGGGCUCGCUCCUCGCGCCUCCCUCUCUGACCUUCUCCAGUUACUUUCCUCCGAUUCCUGUUCUCUCUCUGAUGGCGCCUACUUUCUAUUUAGCUCCUGUGAUUGGAGAAAGGUUAGUUGUUCGGCCACGGAGGGCUUUCGUGGAGAGAUGCUCUAGGGAUUCAGUGAAAAAGGAUGUUGGGGGAGGGCGAGGAGAGCCGGCAGAAGAGCCUUCCAGGAAGGAGAGCUGUGGCCACCUCCCUCCAACCGCUUCCUGUGAGAUCAGGGAGUUUGACCCCAGGCCGCUGGGCAACCUGGAGCCUGGGAGGGGCUCUUAGCGCCUGACACACUGUCUCCUGAUCAGCAGAAGCCCUAUCGCCUAGGAACUUGUUAGAAAUGCAAAUUCUCAGUACCCCGGCAGACAUGCUGAAUCAGAAAAUCAGCUCAGAAAGAUUAGUAACCUGCCCAAAGUCACACAGUUCGGAAGAGGCAGGACAGAAGUGUUCGAACAAGCUCUGGGUGAUUGUGGUGCACACAACAAGUCCGAGAAUUUCUGCGGCAGGGAUGGAGCACGAGGGUGCAAGGAAAGUGCUUCACACUGCCAUCCAGUGGCUGCAGACGGAACAACAGCCCAGCCUCGACUUUGGACGAACCCUGGCCAAGGAAGCAGUACUGCCAAGGCACAGACCCACUGCUUGGGUCAGCAGGGAUGAGGAAUGGAGACAGCACACGGCUGAGCUGAGGGGUGUCUCUGGAAGGACGCCCACCCUUGUACCACCCCUGGAGCAGCGUGGCCAGAGGGCACCCCGAGGGCCCCAGGAGGCGUUCACAGAUUCCACAGAGGGGCAGCCUCCAGUGAAAAAACACCGUGUUCUUUCCCAUUUUACAGAAAUUGUGCAGAACAGUUAA
rnacentral:lncRNA from 1 species